AUGAACGCUGGCGGCGUGCCUAAUACAUGCAAGUCGAGCGAACAGACGAGGAGCUUGCUCCUCUGACGUUAGCGGCGGACGGGUGAGUAACACGUGGAUAACCUACCUAUAAGACUGGGAUAACUUCGGGAAACCGGAGCUAAUACCGGAUAAUAUAUUGAACCGCAUGGUUCAAUAGUGAAAGACGGUUUUGCUGUCACUUAUAGAUGGAUCCGCGCCGCAUUAGCUAGUUGGUAAGGUAACGGCUUACCAAGGCAACGAUGCGUAGCCGACCUGAGAGGGUGAUCGGCCACACUGGAACUGAGACACGGUCCAGACUCCUACGGGAGGCAGCAGUAGGGAAUCUUCCGCAAUGGGCGAAAGCCUGACGGAGCAACGCCGCGUGAGUGAUGAAGGUCUUCGGAUCGUAAAACUCUGUUAUUGGGGAAGAACAAAUGUGUAAGUAACUAUGCACGUCUUGACGGUACCUAAUCAGAAAGCCACGGCUAACUACGUG
rnacentral:rRNA from 1 species